UGGGGAAUCUUGGACAACGGGGGCAACCCUGAUCCAGCAAUGCCGCGUGGGUGAAGAAGGCCUUCGGGUUGUAAAGCCCUUUCGGCAGGGAAGAAAUCGGCGGGGCGAAUAACCCUGCUGGAUGACGGUACCUGCAGAAGAAGCACCGGCUAACUACGUGCCAGCAGCCGCGGUAAUACGUAGGGUGCGAGCGUUAAUCGGAUUUACUGGGCGUAAAGCGUGCGCAGGCGGCCCGUUAAGACAGGUGUGAAAUCCCUGGGCUCAACCUAGGAAUUGCGCUUGUGACUGGCGGGCUCGAGUACGGUAGAGGGGGGUGGAAUUCCUGGUGUAGCAGUGAAAUGCGUAGAGAUCAGGAGGAACACCGAUGGCGAAGGCAGCCCCCUGGGCCUGUACUGACGCUCAUGCACGAAAGCGUGGGGAGCAAACAGGAUUAGAUACCCUGGUAGUCCACGCCCUAAACGAUGGGUACUAGCCGUUUGGUGCGCGAUAGCGCUGAGUGGCGAAGCUAACGCGUGAAGUACCCUGCCUGGGGAGUACGGCCGCAAGGUUG
rnacentral:rRNA from 1 species